rnacentral:lncRNA from 10 species
CUUCCUUCCUUCCUUCCUUCCUUCUUUCCUUUCUUCUUUUCUUUUCUUCUCUCCCUCCCUUCCCCUCUCUCUUCCCUUCCCUUCCUUCUCUCUCCCCUUCCCUUCCCUCUCUCUCCCCUUCCCUCUCCCUCUCCCUCUCCCUUCCCUUCCCUUUCUUUCUUGACAGGGUCUCACUCCAUCACCCAGGCUGGAAUGCAGUGGCUCAAUCAACACACCACAGCCUCGGCCUCCCUGGGCUCAGAAGUCUAGGAAUCCUCUUGGCACUUGACCUUGGGCCUCUGAGAUCCCAGCUAUGACCAGAUUGGCCUGCAUCAGCCCAAAUGGUUCCAUGUUCUUCUUUUUAAUGGCUGCAUAGUACUCCUUUGCAUGGAUGCACCACAGUUCAUUUAACCAGAGUCCUGUUGGCAGGCAUUUCAGAUGUUUGCAAUUUUUCUGUGAGACCAACACCACUGUGAUCAGCAUCCUGGGAGCCAAAAAAUGGGACGGCCCUGCCCUAGACAGAGGGUAACGACAAUGAUUCCCGUUGGAGCACUGGACACAGAGCAAUGAUUCCCGUUGGAGUGCCGGACACAGAGCAAUGAUUCCCGUUGGAGCACUGGACACAGAGCACUCCGUCCCUGUGAUCACAUCUAACCCCUAAAUAGCCCCAACAGGGCAUUUUCAUUAUUACCAUCACUCAUGUCAUGCACAGGUGAGGAAACUGAGGCACAGCAUGGCUCCAUGCCUUGCCUAAGUUCUCACAGCAAGGCAGGAGCAGACCCAGGCCUUGAACUCAGAUCUCAAGGUGAACACGGUCCUCUUGGAGGCCAGGGUCACACCAGAGGGUCCCACAUGCAGGGACGGGGUAAAGGAUUCUCCACUUGCCCCAGCAAAUUUUCAGACACCAAGGCCUGUGGGACAAGGCCUGGCUGCUGUGAGGCUGAAUAAGCAAACCAGUGGAAGAACAAAGAAGAAUGGUUCUUUCUGGAACCUCUAGUUUGUUCUUUGAGCACAUUAAAUAUGCCCCUGUAACCUUGCUGACUCUCUUCAUUGGCUCUGUAAACCCUCAGUGGCUGUCGCGGGCAUUUUUUGUACACACUGUAUUUAACACAGAGCCAGAUGCACCAAAGGGCUCAGCAUAUAUUUG